rnacentral:lncRNA from 1 species
UCACUUAUGCACAAAAGAAAAGGGAGGAAAAGAUGAGACUUUCUUUUCCUUGAAGCUCUCUUGGAUGGUCUCCGAGUUUUCAACUUUUGAAAGACCUUCUUCCUUGUUGCUUGCUUCAUAGAGUCUUUACAAGGUACGAAAGUAGAUACCUCUAGUUCAUACACACAAACGUAGUGUAAGAGAUGAAGAAGAUGAACAAGAGGAGGUAAGGUGCUAGCCCUCUCCUCUUGGUGGUCAGUUCUAGCAUGGUCGAGUGGAGAAUUAUCUCCUCUCAAACCCACUCCAAAGUUGGAUUCUUCAAACCCUAGAAAGAAAACAGCCUAAUUGUGGCUUAUAUAAGCCAAUACAAAAGAUGAAGCAAAACCCCAUCCUUGUAUUUUAGCCAUAGUGUUUCUUGGGCUCAUUUAACUUAUGUUGUCAUACAACACAUGUUCUCUUGGUCCCAUU